GCCUUUUCGUGUAAAUUUCCAU
rnacentral:miRNA from 1 species